GCUGGUGAUUAUUGCCAGCGCGGCACACCCCAUCCCAUUCCGAACUGGACGGUGAAACCGCUGUGCGCCGAUGGUACUUUGUCUUAAGGCACGGGAGAGUAGGUCGUUGCCAGCU
rnacentral:rRNA from 1 species